AGAGCCUGAAUCAGCAUGUGUGUUAGUGGAAGCGUCUGGAAAGGCGCGCGAUACAGGGUGACAGCCCCGUACACAAAAGCGCAUGUGCUGUGAGCUCGAUGAGUAGGGCGGGACACGUGGUAUCCUGUCUGAAUAUGGGGGGACCAUCCUCCAAGGCUAAAUACUCCUGACUGACCGAUAGUGAACCAGUACCGUGAGGGAAAGGCGAAAAGAACCCCGGCGAGGGGAGUGAAAAAGAACCUGAAACCGUGUACGUACAAGCAGUGGGAGCCCCACCACCAAAGCAUUCUCUGGUGUUGAAGGCCCUGCAAAGCAGCAUCGCGGUGGCGGAGCGUCGUUUGCGACGCCCAACACACAAAACAAGCGGUGAAUGCUUUGGGGUGGGGUGACUGCGUACCUUUUGUAUAAUGGGUCAGCGACUUAUAUUCUGUAGCAAGGUUAACCGAAUAGGGGAGCCGGAGGGAAACCGAGUCUUAAUUGGGCGUUAAGUUGCAGGGUAUAGACCCGAAACCCGGUGAUCUAGCCAUGGGCAGGUUGAAGGUUGGGUAACACUAACUGGAGGACCGAACCGACUAAUGUUGAAAAAUUAGCGGAUGACCUGUGGCUGGGGGUGAAAGGCCAAUCAAACCGGGAGAUAGCUGGUUCUCCCCGAAAGCUAUUUAGGUAGCGCCUCGUGAAUUCAUCUCCGGGGGUAGAGCACUGUUUCGGCUAGGGGGCCAUCCCGGCUUACCAACCCGAUGCAAACUGCGAAUACCGGAGAAUGUUAUCACGGGAGACACACGGCGGGUGCUAACGUCCGUCGUGAAGAGGGAAACAACCCAGACCGCCAGCUAAGGUCCCAAAGUCAUGGUUAAGUGGGAAACGAUGUGGGAAGGCCCAGACAGCCAGGAUGUUGGCUUAGAAGCAGCCAUCAUUUAAAGAAAGCGUAAUAGCUCACUGGUCGAGUCGGCCUGCGCGGAAGAUGUAACGGGGCUAAACCAUGCACCGAAG
rnacentral:rRNA from 1 species